ACUCCAAACGAAAGCUUCACAGUCAUCUUCCUCUAGUCAUCUUCCUCUCCAUUCACACUCCAAACCUUUCUCCUCAGCGCCUUCAUCCACCGCAUUCUUCCAUCAUCAACACCUUUAGGACUUCCAUCACUCUCGUCGUCGUCAAUCAUCGCUGUUCCUGUCCUGUCCCUUCUCUUCCCUUCUUUUACGAGGAUAAACCCUAAUCCUCCUUCAACGCCUUUUUCUUCUCUUCAAACCUAACACCGAUGCAAGGUAAACGAUGUUAAGAAGAGCAACUGGAGUAUACGUGUUUAUGAUGCUAGUAUGGUCAAAUUGAAGCCAGUAAAUGGGUGUCAAUGAGUGGUCAAAUUGUUGAUGCUAGCAUGGUCAAAUUGAAGCAAGGUAUGAAUGCCGGCUCUCAGAACUGUAUGCUCAAAUCCAGGAUCAUAUAUUCUUUUGAUAUUAAACUCUUAUUGGGAGAGUAAUUUUUUUCAUUUGUUACCUAUCCAAUCAUAUAUGCGCUAGUUCUAAUUGUUCUUGAUUGUAUGGUAUUUGCAAUGUACAGGGAAAACAUCGACAAACCCGUAAAUACUAUGCUACCUACAAUGCUCUUUUGGAAAUUAAAGAAUUGAUACUAAAGGAAACAUCCUUAUUGAAUUCAAUCAUUUCACAGUUUCAAGAGGCCUUCAGUAGUAUGGAUGGUCGUGCAAAACUUGUUCAUUCCAUGGAAGGAAUUCUCAAGGGCAGUCAACAGAUUCACUAAUUAACAAACAAAAAUGGGUGCCAAUGCCAAAGGUGGAGUUGCAUGCUCAUCUCAAUGGAUUCAUUCACUAAUUAACAAACAAGAACAUGAGAAGAGUUUGAGACAGGGGAGUGUGAAACAAGGGAUUCAUGUAGUGAUACCUUGAGCGAUGAUAGAUUGGUGAUGGCGUGGGUGUAAAGUCUUUAAGCAAAGCACGGGACUUGGAAUGAUUGCUGGCCAGGUUACUAGGUUAAGACAAGAUAAUCAUCACUUGUUUUGCCCUAGAUAUUUUGCAUAUUCUUUGUUUCUGGCAAAAGCUUUAUCAGAAAGAGGGGAAGCGAAGGUGGGCGCACCUUGCGAGCACAGAAGAAUGUCAUGAAAUGCCCUUCAUGUUCAAUUGACAUAGCUGAAUUUCUUCAGAACCCAGAGGUUAACAGACACAUGAUGAGCGCGAUAGAAACCCUCCUCCGCGAGGCUGGGAUAGAAUAGACUUCUGAAGUGUCUAAUGACAAAAAUGAUGAAAAUAUAGAGACUGUGAAUGAUGAUGAUGGGACAGAAGUUUCAAAGCAUUGUGAUUCAUGUGAGAAUGUCCUAGAGGAGAUCAAGGACAAUGAUUUGAAUCAGCCACACAAGCGUAGAAAGGGUGCUGGUAAUUCAGCUAUUGUGAACAGUGAGGAGCAAAUCGAUGUGGCAAUAGAUUAGAUUGGAGUCUACCAUGGAGUGAAGAAUCAUGUAACUCAGAUUAGAUUGGAGAGUUUAAACUUUAAAGAGAGCAUGAGGAAAUAGUUUUAAAAUUUAGGCUGAAAGUCCUGUCCUUCUCUGUUGUAGUUUAAAAGAAAUUUUGGGGUAUCUUUUUAUUGAGACAGUGAGAUAUUGGAUAAUGGUGUUGAAAAAUAACAUCCAAUUUUAUAGGUAUCAUAUAAUGAAUAUUAUGUUUAUCUAUGUGA